GUGAGCUGCGCCGUGGCUCGGUGAGGGGUCUGCCCCUCUCCUCUCCGCAGCUUCAGCCACACGUUUGCUGCUGCAGGAUUUGAACCUCUUGCUACAUCUCGGGUGUUUCCCACUGGACGUGCCCUUGUGCUGGAGUUACUGGGCUUGACUUGACAUGCAGGGCUCAUCUAUUUCUCCUUAAGCAAAUAGAGGCUUACAAAAUCUGGAGCCCACCAGUGUGAUGGGAACAAAGCUAACGUGAAAAGCUACCCAGUGAUCUCCUCUUGGAGGGUACCGGUGCUAUGCGGUAACGUGCAAUUAUUUUUCCAACUUAAAAGACAGAGAGCAUCCUAUUUUAAAUCCAGCUGAGGGUUUGAGCAUUAAAAAAAACCUCCUGGGAACGCACAACACAACGGUUCCCGCUUGCAGCUGAUGAUUAGGAAAGACCACGGGUUGCAGUAACUUUAGGUAAAAAUAAAAGAACCAGGUGUAGAGACAAACAGCACUGGCAGAGCUCAGCUGGGUUCCUGGGCUUUGCUCAAACAUCCUACCUGGGAGUUUGUCUGUUGUGGAAGACAUCAUCCUCCGUUUUUUUUUGUCCACUAUUCUUCAAUACUUCUCAAAUGUUGAUAGUCUUGAGGACCCGCAAUGACAUUUUGGAAGGGUGAGUAAUCCAGGACCCGGGUAAUGUUGGGAGAGCUGUGUCACUUCAGUUUAGGUGGUUACUGGGUGUCUGGAAAGCUGUGCUGGGCUGUUGGGCAGCGCUGGCUGCGUCCUUAAAACACGAGAGCGCUUUGUCUUUCUGCUAAUUACCCCAGUUCUGAACAUUUACUGUCAAUUUACUUUAUAAUUUUUCUUGUUCUGAUGCCUUUCCCACCUUCAUUUUUUCCAUUGUUUUACAGAAAAACUUGCACAAGAGAUACACAGUGAACCAGCAGCCCGACGUGAUACACCAGGGGAAUUUUGCUCCGAGUUUCAGCGACUUGUGUGCGAUGGGGAACAGCCACAGCCAGGAUCCAGCAAGUCACCGCUGACAAUAGAAAGGCAGAUGAAAAGCAGGAGAAGCGCUCCUCCAGCACCCUCCAUCACCCAGCCCUUCUACCAGCCUUGGAGGAUCAGCGUUAGACAAACGAUAAUCGCCUGA
rnacentral:lncRNA from 1 species